UCGCAAUUGUCGCUAUAUAUGGAUUUUUUUCCUAAUGUACCAAAUUUUCUUUGAUUACCACACUUAAGUAACAUAUAAAUCAUGUCUUUCAAUAUAAUACAUUAAUAAAUAUAUUCCAAAUUAAUUGAAUAAUAAAAAUAUAUCAAAAUGAUACGAAAAAGAUCGCACAAAUAAAUGAAUAAAGUGCCAUAGAUUUGUUUUAUGUUCGAAUUUAAAAAAUCUUCCCGCUUGUUGGUCAUGUGACUUCACAUAGCAGAAGUCGAACAUCCGUUCGUAUAGUUGUCACGACAGUGUACAUAUUGUUCCGGCCAAUUGCAUUCUGCGUGUAAAUAAAUAAAAAGAAAUGUAAUUCACUAAUCAAUCAUAUAUACUUACCGAACUGCAAUUCAAAAAGGUAUGCACAUGCACAGACCAUUGGCAGCACAAGCAGACAAAAAUUUGUAGCACACCGAUUGCAGCAAUUCCAACCAGGCCUGCAUCAUAAUACUCAUCGAAACCGUAAACAAAUAUCCAACUAUAAAUCCACAUAAACUGCAAUACUACGAAGGGUAAGACGUAACCAUUGAAUAACAAUUUUCGAGGAUUGUGAAGAGUAACCGUUUGUACAAGAUCGUCCAGUCGUGAUUUGUUGGUCGCCAUGAUUAUACUACGGCCCAACAUAGCAUGGAUGUAUUAACGUGAGACAUCUACAAGAAUUCUUAUUGUUCAAUAAGGAAGCGUAAAAAAGGUUACGUUUGGUGUAACCACGCCACGGUGGUAUUAAAAGAUUUGCCAGAGGGAACAAACUUAUGUCAGGAAUCAAGAUUUUCAGUACUGUUGACUACCAUGAUAGGAGGUGUUGUUGUCGCUGUUAAACGUGCUGCCUUGUGGUCAAAAUUGAUACUAGUAGAAAUAAUAGUGUCGAAAUUGAUAACUUCUAGGAUCGCGUUUGUUUCCGAUCUCUUAUUUCAUCACUCAUCAUUCAUAGUUUGCAAAUAUCAAUUCUAUAUAUCUAGGUAUUUAUUUAUUGUUAUCGUAUAUUUUUACAAUUAUUACUACUUUUUUUAUAGUACUACUUCUGUAAAACUAGUGACAAAAUAAUUGUUACGAAGAUCAAGUACAAAAUCUAUAGCUGCAAAUAAUUUUAUCGCAGCAUUUUUUUAUUGACAGAGAUUAAUAAAAAAAAUUAAUAAUAUCGACAGAUCAGAUAAAUCAAAUAAAAUUUGAUGGCAAUCAAAAACAAGUACAUUAAUUA
rnacentral:lncRNA from 1 species